GUCGAACGGCAGCAUAGGAGCUUGCUCCUGAUGGCGAGUGGCGAACGGGUGAGUAAUAUAUCGGAACGUGCCCUAGAGUGGGGGAUAACUAGUCGAAAGAUUAGCUAAUACCGCAUACGAUCUACGGAUGAAAGUGGGGGAUCGCAAGACCUCAUGCUCCUGGAGCGGCCGAUAUCUGAUUAGCUAGUUGGUGGGGUAAAAGCCUACCAAGGCGACGAUCAGUAGCUGGUCUGAGAGGACGACCAGCCACACUGGGACUGAGACACGGCCCAGACUCCUACGGGAGGCAGCAGUGGGGAAUUUUGGACAAUGGGGGCAACCCUGAUCCAGCAAUGCCGCGUGAGUGAAGAAGGCCUUCGGGUUGUAAAGCUCUUUUGUCAGGGAAGAAACGGUUGAGGCUAAUAUCCUCGACUAAUGACG
rnacentral:rRNA from 1 species